UAGUUAAUUGGUAUUUUUAUAACUUAUUUUUUAUUAUAAAUUAAUAAUUACUGACAUUUUUAAUACAUUAUCUCAAUUAAACCCACAGGCUGUGUUCUCCUUUUAGCUCAUAAUUUCUGCAUGCUUACCCACUGACUCAAAAUUCUGUGGACACCCUAUAGAUGAAUGGAGAACUGGGCACAAGCAAUGGCUUCUGCCGCAGCUUUGUUGCUUGUUAUUGGUUUUCUUUGCUGUUGCCUUACUGCCAAACCUCGCGCACACGGGGACACCGCUGCAUGCUCCUGUGAUGGCUUCGUUUAAUUUCCUAUGGCUCUUUUGUCUUAGUUUGUUAAUUACUUUUAGCAUAUUCUUUCUAUGUAGAUCAGUUUAUUUUAUUUUCAUUGUUUAACAUCUCGGAAGCUGAUAUAUAUAUACACACACACUUUAAGUAGUUUAA